UUUUCCAAGGAAAAUCUUUAGUAAUUCCUUAAAUAAGCAAUUAGGAACAACAUUAAGUGGGAUAAUUAUGAGGCACAAGACUUUUGGUGUAUUAAAGUUGCAUUCCUGGAGCUCUUUCUUCCUGAAAUUUCUUCCUAUUAAGGAAAAAAAAAAUCAACAAAAUUGCAAGUUUUCCCAUUUUUUCCUUUGUGGGUUUAGUUUUGCUUAACGUUUAUUUUCAGUUCUCAGCUACAAACUUCAAAUAUUCCUCAGGAAAACAGAAAGAUUGACUAAGAAGUGAAAAUAAAUCACAUUGGAUCAAUUUAAUUUGAUAUUCUCCCAACAAGAAUAAACCAGGGGAUUUCUCAGGAAUUUGUUGUGUAUUUUAAGAGCAUUAAUUUGACCAAAAUGGCAAUUUUUAGGCGUUUUUUGCUUCUCUUAAUUAUUUCUCUGUUACUUCUCUAAAAAAAGUGAAAAUAAAUCACAUUGGAUCAAUUUCAUUUGAUAUUAUCUAACAUGAAUAAACCAGGGGAAUUCUCAGGAAUUUGCUGUGUAUUUUAAGAGCAUUAAUUUGACCAAAAUGGCAAUUUUUAGCUGUUUUUUUCUUCUCUUAAUUAUUUCUCUAUUACUUCUCAUAGUAAUUAAAAAAUAUACAUUUUUAAUU